GAAAGAAAUCCUUGGCUCUAAUACAGUCGGGGGAUGACGGUACCGGAAGAAUAAGCACCGGCUAACUACGUGCCAGCAGCCGCGGUAAUACGUAGGGUGCGAGCGUUAAUCGGAAUUACUGGGCGUAAAGCGUGCGCAGGCGGUUUGCUAAGACCGAUGUGAAAUCCCCGGGCUCAACCUGGGAACUGCAUUGGUGACUGGCAGGCUAGAGUAUGGCAGAGGGGGGUAGAAUUCCACGUGUAGCAGUGAAAUGCGUAGAGAUGUGGAGGAAUACCGAUGGCGAAGGCAGCCCCCUGGGCCAAUACUGACGCUCAUGCACGAAAGCGUGGGGAGCAAACAGGAUUAGAUACCCUGGUAGUCCACGCCCUAAACGAUGUCAACUAGUUGUUGGGGAUUCAUUUCCUUAGUAACGUAGCUAACGCGUGAAGUUGACCGCCUGGGGAGUACGGUCGCAAGAUUAAAACUCAAAGGAAUUGACGGGGACCCGCACAAGCGGUGGAUGAUGUGGAUUAAUUCGAUGCAACGCGAAAAACCUUACCUACCCUUGACAUGGUCGGAAUCCCGCUGAGAGGUGGGAGUGCUCGAAAGAGAACCGGCGCACAGGUGCUGCAUGGCUGUCGUCAG
rnacentral:rRNA from 2 species